rnacentral:rRNA from 1 species
ACAAUAACGCCGGUCGGUGGAUCCGUCGGCUCGGAGAACGAUGAAGGCCGCAGCAGAGUGCGAAGAGCGGGGGAGACCAGCGAAACUGCGAUCCCCCGGUGGCCGAAUGACGUAGUUGCCGU